rnacentral:lncRNA from 1 species
ACUGAACCUUAUGAGUAAUGGAUUCAAAACCUUCAAUAGAUCACUGUCUUAGCUUUAUUUUCUUUGUUUCCUUUUACAUAUCAUAAUUUUCCCCUUGCUGUAAUCUUCACUCCUUAAUCUGAUGACUGUAAUCUCUUGACUGCUCUUUUAUUUUUUUUUAAUAAUAAAUUCUCUGUAGGGGUUGCGGCCCCUCUAGGUACACUCGUGUCUGUUAUUUUAGAACUAACAUGUUUCUCUUCUCUAAAAAAUAUGAAGAUUUUCAUUAGUCCGCAAAUGAAUGUUCCAUCUAAAUUUGCGAGACAAAUCUAUUAAACAUAAUUAGUCCAUGAUUUGUCGAUGUAGUGCUAAAGUAAACAUGUGCUAAUCAUAGAUUAAUUAAUUUUAAUAGAUUUGUCUCGCUAAUUAGUCUACUCAUAUGUAAUUAGUUUUACAAUUAGCUCAUGUUCCCUUAUAUAGAUCUAAACACCCCCUAAGUUUUUUUUAGC